rnacentral:lncRNA from 1 species
GGAUCUGCAAGGAGACGGAGAGACAAUGGGAAAGGUCUCUCCUGGAAAUGUUGGUUAUACCUCUCAGUGCUGUGAUUUAGUGCAUAGCACAGUACUGGAAAAGCACAAACAAAUGAAGAAGGAUCCACCACAGGCAGGAGAGACCCCUGGACAAAACUGGGUUGACUAAAUGGAAGUGUGCAGCUAUCAGAAGAAGAGGCUUAGCUGCCUGGAGAAGAGGACACUUCAGCUUCUUGUUACUCUCGCUGGUGAUGGUACUGCAAGAUCACCCAUGGCUCUUUGAGUAUUUUCUUUUUAAGUCAGAAAGGCUCUG